GAAACCGAGGGUAAUACCGCAUGAGUCCUCAAUGACAUAAGUCGAUGAGGGGAAAGGCGGGGCUCCUUCGGGACCUGUCGCCUCUGGAUGAGCCCGCGUCCGAUUAGCUAGUUGGUGGGGUAAUGGCCUACCAAGGCAACGAUCGGUAGCCGGCCUGAGAGGGUGAACGGCCACAUUGGGACUGAGACACGGCCCAGACUCCUACGGGAGGCAGCAGUGGGGAAUUUUGGGCAAUGGGGGAAACCCUGACCCAGCGACGCCGCGUGGAGGAUGACGGCCUUCGGGUUGUAAACUCCUGUCAGGUGGGAAGAAAAGCCAGUCGGUUAAUACCCGGCAGGAAUUGACGGUACCACCAAAGGAAGCCCCGGCUAACUCCGUGCCAGCAGCCGCGGUAAUACGGAGGGGGCAAGCGUUAUUCGGAUUUACUGGGCGUAAAGCGCACGUAGGUGGCAUGGUAAGUCAAAGGUGAAAGCCCUCGGCUCAACCGAAGAAUUGC
rnacentral:rRNA from 1 species